rnacentral:lncRNA from 1 species
UUGGCUCAGGUUCAGUCCCGACACAAUCCGGCCUUCCGCGCUCACGACCAAUGGUUCGAUGCGACGCGCGGAAGAGUCAUCAUCAACAGACAUGUGAGUCGCCGACUCCAGCAAGCGAGUCGCCGAUCCCGUAAGAGGAAUCGGUGAGGCUUGGCUGGCAGUCGCCGACCUAGUGACAGCUGAAGCCUGCCCCUUUCGCCUGAAGCAUCUCCCUCUGACAGGGCC